GACUGAAAUCUCAAACUGUGGCCUCAACAUUGUCAUCUGAAAGCUGGUUGUCUAUUCUCUGAAUUUUUAUACUGAUCUGGAAAAGAAGGCAAGAAGAGCUAGCACUUUGGGCAUCUCUACACAGGAUUUGUUUACUUCAUGUCUCCAUGUCACGUUUUCAAAUGUUUUCAUGAUUAUAUCAAAAGUGCUGCAAUCCCAUGAUAAAACUUUAAUGAAUGAGGAGUUGUUUCUAUUAAUGGUUUCUUAAGACGGAAUCUAUUCCUGCUGAAGAUGCUGUCAUGACUGUUGACAUUACAACAAAGGAUUUAGAAUAUUACAUAAACUUUGUUGAUAAAGCAGCAGUAGAGUUUGAGAGGAAUCAUUUCAGUUUUGAAAGAAGUUCUGUUGUGGAUAAAAUGCUUUGAAACAGCAUCACAUGCUACAGAGAAAUAGCUCAUGAAAGGAAGAGUCAGUCAAGGAGGCAGACACCAUUGUUGGCUCCUUUUAAGAAAUUGCCACAGCUGCCUGAACCUUCCACAACCACCACCAUGAUCAGUCAUCAGUCAGCAAUCAUCAACAUCGAGGCAAGACCCUCCACCAGCACAAAGAUUAAGACUCACUGAAAGCUCGGGUGAUGAUUAACAUUGUUUAGCAAUAUUUUUAAAUUAAGGAUACCAGUGGAAACAUCAGUUAUAUUACCAAAGCUUUGACUGGAAUGUCAUGUUUGACAGACAUGCAUAGACUCAGAUAUGACCAUACAGUUUUAAGGAACUACGGCUGACUUCAUGAAGCAUGGAGCCAAUAAAUCCCCUUUGGAAAUGUUGGCCUGAUACCUUGCAUACAGAGUUCCCAGAAGCCUUACCACGUGAGUAAAGAAUGUCACUUCCUGGCAGGUACAGGAA